GCUCCGAGCGCCGCCUCUGCCCUCAGCCUCCGUCCCCAGCCCUCAGCCUCUGUCCUCCGCCCCGCUUCCCUGACCGGGAGCCCCGGUCCCGCCAAAGCCCAGCCCCGGCCGUGUGGAAGUCUUCUCUGGAGGCAGCUCUGCUGUAAGUGCCACGCCAAGUCGGAGAUGUGGAUUUGUUGGCCAGAAGAGAUGAAGAAGGAAAUCUUCUUUCUUUGGUGGUGAUCCCAUUCUGUGGUGUAACUACACCUGUUCUUUGUACUUUGUCUCAAGCAAUAAAUGCACCUCAAGAAUAGUUCAGGGAACUUGCCAGUGUGAUCUGGAUUUCACCACAGCUCUGGUGGAGUUUGAGGCCAGAAGAUGGAACUCCCUGGCUACCACCCACCUGCAGCAGCAGCUUCAGCUGGGAUCAGAAGCACUGUGGAAAUGGCAGUGGAUAUUACAUGGGAUGGCCCUCACAUGCUCAGCUCCAUUAGCUUGGACAAUUCAAGAGGAUCUCAGCUGGGUUUCCUGGCCACAGGUUACACAGGUGACAAGAUUGAAACACAGAAAAUAAAAAUUUUUCCAAGGUCUCCUGGAAGGCAAAUGGUGCUGCUGGAGGAAAAGCCAAUCGGUUCAGAGGUCUGGGCCAGUUCUCCAAGUGCUCUACUGCCUCCUUUGUUUCCAACUCUUCUAUUUCCCAAGAAAACAAACAUCUCCACUAGAACUUCCAAGUAGAAUGUGGAAGCAGCACAGUCUCCUGAGAUCUGGUUUCCAGACAAAGGGAGUUCAGACAGAAAUUGGAGCUUCUGAUUGGGUUUUGAACUCUGCCUGCCCCCGGUGUUCUCUCCCCUUGAACUGGCAAUAGGAAUUGCAUCUCUCUCAUCUGGCUGAACAGUGGCUGCAGUUGCCUUUGACUCGUGUGACUUUAAACAGGACAUUGGUAGAAGACUUGAACAAAUAAACUGGACUCUAUGAAACCAUCACAUUUAACUGUCCCUGUGGUACACGCUCCUUGAAACUUGCUAAUUCAUUAUGUAACAAAGGAAUUCUCAUGCUGAUUGGAAAAAAGAAAAAGCUAGAAUUAUUUUCAAUGACAUACUCUUUAUUCUUUGUUUUUAUUCGUUAUUAUUUUAAAAGUUAUAAAUUUCAUAUUAAGAGCUACUCGCCCUAUGGUAAAAUGUCUUUCAUCUCCAAUAUAAACUUUCUAAAAAUUUCAAGUUCAAUUCAAAGAUUUGGGAGUCCUAAGAGCAGCCUCUGCUGAUGCUAAGGAAAUUGUUUCUCAAUUUUUCCAGUGGAUGCAUGAGAUUUUUUUGCAUAUCCACAAAAAGUUUGUAAGAACUGUUCAGUGUUUGUAUGUCACUUGGAAAAUAUAAAAGCCUUCACGGAUUAUAAAUUUAAAGUAACUCAAGUAAAUAAGAGGAUCAGCAUUAAAAAUCUCGGAUACUACGAACAAUAAAGUUGAAACCACAAUGGUUUUACGGUGCAACAAUAGAAUUAUGGUACUCUAACGAGUAGGAUGUCCCUGUCUCUUUCCCCUCUAUAAUAAAUGGGAGUACUGGUGCA